GUCUCCGUGGCGCAAUCGGUUAGCGCGUUCGGCUGUUAACCGGAAGGUUGGUGGUUCAAGUCCACCCGGGGACG